rnacentral:rRNA from 1 species
UACGUAGGGUCCGAGCGUUGUCCGGAAUUAUUGGGCGUAAAGGGCUCGUAGGCGGUUCGUCACGUCGGGAGUGAAAACCCGCGGCUCAACUGCGGGCCUGCAGCCGAUACGGGCAGGCUAGAGUUCGGUAGGGGAGACUGGAAUUCCUGGUGUAGCGGUGAAAUGCGUGGAUAUCAAGAGGAACACUCGUGGCGAAAGCGAGCUACUGGACAACUCCUGACGCUGAGGCUCGAAGGCCAGGGUAGCGAAAGGG